rnacentral:sRNA from 1 species
CCGGCCCGCAAGACAUUAAGGGAGGGUCCCGGCCGCUGGGUUCAGCGGCCGGGACCCUCCCUUAAUGUCUUGAGUGUUUG